rnacentral:rRNA from 1 species
GAUGAACGCUGGCGGCGUGCCUAAUACAUGCAAGUCGAGCGAACAGACGAGGAGCUUGCUCCUCUGACGUUAGCGGCGGACGGGUGAGUAACACGUGGAUAACCUACCUAUAAGACUGGGAUAACUUCGGGAAACCGGAGCUAAUACCGGAUAAUAUAUUGAACCGCAUGGUUCAAUAGUGAAAGACGGUUUUGCUGUCACUUAUAGAUGGAUCCGCGCCGCAUUAGCUAGUUGGUAAGGUAACGGCUUACCAAGGCAACGAUGCGUAGCCGACCUGAGAGGGUGAUCGGCCACACUGGAACUGAGACACGGUCCAGACUCCUACGGGAGGCAGCAGUAGGGAAAUCUUCCGCAAUGGGCGAAAGCCUGACGGAGCAACGCCGCGUGAGUGAUGAAGGUCUUCGGAUCGUAAAACUCUGUUAUUAGGGAAGAACAAAUGUGUAAGUAACUAUGCACGUCUUGACGGUACCUAAUCAGAAAGCCACGGCUAACUACGUG